rnacentral:lncRNA from 1 species
UUUUUCUUUUGUUCUAGUUAAAGACGGAAGCAAUGCCUUCUUCUUCAAAAUGGCGAGCCCACCUUCUAGAAGGGUGGUGCCAGCAUGCUAUAUUUUUGUCAAUGGUUUGCUGCUGGUUUGGGUCAAUGGGUCCAAGUGGCUCAGCUGGGUUCGAUGCUGCUGUGUCACGUGAGUUCGAGUGGCUGCUGCUGCAUCACACAAGUUCCAGUGGCUGGUGCUGGGUUUGCUGGCAGCUGCUGCUACAUCGCGUGGGUGCAAGUGCAGGCUGCUGGUGCUGCGUUUGCUUCGUUGCUGCUGCCUGUUGCGUUACAUAGCUGCAGCUUGUGUUGUGUAGCUGCUGGUUCAGCUAACUGUUGGUGUAGAUGAAUGGGUUCAACUUUCAAUUUCAAUCGGUGAUGCCUGCUUGGGUUCCACCAUUGGGUGUCGGCUGGUGCUUUUAAAUUUUAGGAAUUGUUGUGUGACUUUUGAGAGACUGAAAUUUGACAAUUUCUUUUCUUUUG